CACACACACACACACACACACAGAUAGACGGAAAGUAUAUACACCUUUAGAUUGUUGAGAAUCUAGUAGAGUAAUAUAUAACACUCAGUAUAUCGUUUUACAGUAUAUCAAGGAACACGUAGCAAUCGGUUCCCGGACAGCGGUGAGAACACAGGGCUGUAAGAGAUUAGACACGCGUCAUACCCAUCGAAAAACGGUGAGAACACAGGGCUGUGAGAGAUUAUCAUAUGUAUUGCCAAAUGGGAAGUAUAACGCAGCAUGUUAAGUUAAGGUUGCGGAAUCUUUACUUAGGUUAAAACAGGAGGAGUAGAUUAAUUAGUGAUAUUAGUUAAGGUUACGGAAUCUUUACAUAGGCUAAAACAGGAGGAGUAGAUUAAUUAGUGAUAUUAGUUAAGGUUACGGAAUCUUUACUUAGGUUAAAACAGGAGGAGUAGAUUAAUUAGUGAUAUUAGUUAAGGUUACGGAAUCUUUACAUAGGCUAAAACAUUGUCGAGCUGAGCAAGGUUUUCCAGCGCCGCCCCUUUCAGGCUAGUGGCCAGCUGUACCGCGCACUCUUGGUCAUCCCAUCCGUUCCGAGCUGCCAACAGCUCAAACUGAGCGCGGUAAGCCUCCCAGGAGACCUUGCCAUCAAACUCCUGAGGCUUCUUUCUAGAGGCCCAUAGACGCCGGGGGAAGCUUCCAGCACAACAAUAGGUUAAAACAGGAGGAGUAGGUUAAUUAGUGAUAUUAGUUAAGGUUACGGAAUCUUUACAUAGGUUAAAACAGGAGGAGUAGGUUAAUUAGUGAUAAUUUUCCUUUUGUCAUAGUGUGAAAGCCCACCGUGAAUAUUACUUUCCCGCCUCCACUUUCUUCCUCGCCGCCACCCGUCAUUCCUCUCUUCCUCCCUCCCCGCUAUAUUUUUUUUUGUCUUACGAAAAACUGUUCGGCCAAAAGUUAACCCCGAUCAGAAGCCUUCCAGUCAUCAAAAUAUAAAUUAGUAGGAACCCAUUAGAUUUUCGCCACUUAAUUAGGUGGCAUGAUACAAGGUUAGUAAUCAUGACAAAAAAUGCAGAUUGCGUUCGUUCACUAGCCUAUUAACGGUAAGGGCGACUUCGUCCUUUUCUCCCCCCCCCCCCCUCCAGGCGUCCUCCCCCGUCACCCCUCCUCUCCCGGGAAAGGGUAUAUAUAAUAUUCACCCCCCAGCAAAGUACUUGCAGGACAUUCAAGCAUCGUUUCUCUUCCGCUACAGCAGGUGAGCUAUUACUGAUUGAUUGAUUGAUUGAUUGACUGAUCUCCCCCCCCCCCCCCCACCUCCCGUGUGUUUCCCCUCCUACCCCUCUUUUUUAAACCCAAAUCUUAAAUUAAAUUGUGUUGAUAAAUAACCUGAGUUUAACAUACCCCCAUGUACAAUGAAUGAUACACACACACACACACACACGCACAAGAGGCUUCCUUUGUGGAUAUUUAGUUGCCUCAAACGUUCCCCUCAUGGUCGUUCAGCCGCCAAAUAUAUAUUUUGGCAUCUGUUGUUUCGGUUGUCAAAUAUAUGUUCUAACGGGACAACUUUUUGGUUAAUCUCCAUAUGCUUUGCCUUAUUCCUUCACCAGCAUCUUAACUCGCAUUUUGCUCACUUUAAUUUUUCUUUCUUUUUCACACAUUUCCUUGUCCCAACUGUUAAUAUAAAUACCAUAAUCACUUCCUGUCAUAAGCUAACAAAUGUGACAAAUCCCUGCAAUAUUCCAUACAGUAUCAGGUACGCCCACUUCCCCGCACAGAGGCAAAAAAAUGUUAGGCAAGCAUGAUUUUAUUGAUAAUGAGGGUACAACAAUUCCAUGCCAACCCCUAACAAACUGCAUGCAAGGUACUGAAGAACUAGGUCAAGGAAGUUGAGUGGUAGAAACAGCGUGCAAGGUUCAUGCCAACUACA